AUUGAACGCUGGCGGCAGGCCUAACACAUGCAAGUCGAACGGAGUGGCGGACGGGGGAGGAAUGCCUAGGAAUCUGCCUGGUAGUGGGGGAUAACGUCCGGGAACGGGCGCUAAUACCGCAUACUAUCAGAUGAGCCUAGGUCGGAUGAGCUAGUUGGUGGGGUAAUGGCUUACCAAGUCGACGAUCCGUAACUGGUCUGAGAGGACGAUCAGUCACACUGGAACUGAGACACGGUCCAGACUCCUACGGGAGGCAGCAGUGGGGAAUAUUGGACAAUGGGCGAAAGCCUGAUCUAGCCAUGCCGCGUGUGUGAAGAAGGUCUUCGGAUUGUAAAGCACUUUAAGUUGGGAGGCGUUACCAACAGAAUAAGCACCGGCUAACUUCGUGCCAGCAGCCGCGGUAAUAC
rnacentral:rRNA from 1 species